rnacentral:rRNA from 1 species
CCAGACUCCUACGGGAGGCAGCAGUGGGGAAUAUUGCACAAUGGGGGAAACCCUGAUGCAGCGACGCCGCGUGAGUGAAGAAGUAUUUCGGUAUGUAAAGCUCUAUCAGCAGGGAAGAAAAUGACGGUACCUGAUUAAGAAGCCCCGGCUAACUACGUGCCAGCAGCCGCGGUAAUACGUAGGGGGCAAGCGUUAUCCGGAUUUACUGGGUGUAAAGGGAGCGUAGACGGUUAUGCAAGUCUGGGGUGAAAGGCGGGGGCGCACCCCCGGGGAGCCGUUGAAGCUGGCGGGCUGGAGUUGGAGAGAAGUACGCGGAAUGCGCGGUGUAGCGGUGAAAUGCUUAGAUAUCGCGCAGAGCCCCGAUUGCGAAGGCAGCGUACCGGCUCCACACUGACGCUGAGGCACGAAAGCGUGGGUAUCGAACAGGAUUAGAUACCCGGGUAAGC